rnacentral:tRNA from 1 species
UCCAGGGUAGCCUAGUGGACAUGGCAUCUGCCCACUAAGCGGAACAAUGUGGGUUAGAUUCCCAUCUCUGGAC